rfam:Candidatus Magnetobacterium bavaricum SAG44027, whole genome shotgun sequence.
GCCCCCUUAGCUCAGAAGGAUAGAGCACAGGAUUCCUAAUCCUGGUGCCAGAGGUUCGAAUCCUCUAGGGGGCA